GGGUUGUGAGGUUAAGCGACUAAGCGUACACGGUGGAUGCCCUGGCAGUCAGAGGCGAUGAAGGACGUGCUAAUCUGCGAUAAGCGUCGGUAAGGUGAUAUGAACCGUUAUAACCGGCGAUUUCCGAAUGGGGAAACCCAGUGUGAUUCGUCACACUAUCAUUAACUGAAUCCAUAGGUUAAUGAGGCGAACCGGGGGAACUGAAACAUCUAAGUACCCCGAGGAAAAGAAAUCAACCGAGAUUCCCCCAGUAGCGGCGAGCGAACGGGGAGCAGCCCAGAGCCUGAAUCAGUGUGUGUGUUAGUGGAAGCGUCUGGAAAGGCGUGCGAUACAGGGUGACAGCCCCGUACACAAAAAUGCACAUACUGUGAGCUCGAUGAGUAGGGCGGGACACGUGGUAUCCUGUCUGAAUAUGGGGGGACCAUCCUCCAAGGCUAAAUACUCCUGACUGACCGAUAGUGAACCAGUACCGUGAGGGAAAGGCGAAAAGAACCCCGGCGAGGGGAGUGAAAAAGAACCUGAAACCGUGUACGUACAAGCAGUGGGAGCACGCUUAGGCGUGUGACUGCGUACCUUUUGUAUAAUGGGUCAGCGACUUAUAUUCUGUAGCAAGGUUAACCGAAUAGGGGAGCCGAAGGGAAACCGAGUCUUAACUGGGCGUUAAGUUGCAGGGUAUAGACCCGAAACCCGGUGAUCUAGCCAUGGGCAGGUUGAAGGUUGGGUAACACUAACUGGAGGACCGAACCGACUAAUGUUGAAAAAUUAGCGGAUGACUUGUGGCUGGGGGUGAAAGGCCAAUCAAACCGGGAGAUAGCUGGUUCUCCCCGAAAGCUAUUUAGGUAGCGCCUCGUGAAUUCAUCUCCGGGGGUAGAGCACUGUUUCGGCAAGGGGGUCAUCCCGACUUACCAACCCGAUGCAAACUGCGAAUACCGGAGAAUGUUAUUACGGGAGACACACGGCGGGUGCUAACGUCCGUCGUGAAGAGGGAAACAACCCAGACCGCCAGCUAAGGUCCCAAAGUCAUGGUUAAGUGGGAAACGAUGUGGGAAGGCCCAGACAGCCAGGAUGUUGGCUUAGAAGCAGCCAUCAUUUAAAGAAAGCGUAAUAGCUCACUGGUCGAGUCGGCCUGCGCGGAAGAUGUAACGGGGCUAAACCAUGCACCGAAGCUGCGGCAGCGACGCUUAUGCGUUGUUGGGUAGGGGAGCGUUCUGUAAGCCUGUGAAGGUGUGCUGUGAGGUAUGCUGGAGGUAUCAGAAGUGCGAAUGCUGACAUAAGUAACGAUAAAGCGGGUGAAAAGCCCGCUCGCCGGAAGACCAAGGGUUCCUGUCCAACGUUAAUCGGGGCAGGGUGAGUCGACCCCUAAGGCGAGGCCGAAAGGCGUAGUCGAUGGGAAACAGGUUAAUAUUCCUGUACUUGGUGUUACUGCGAAGGGGGGACGGAGAAGGCUAUGUUGGCCGGGCGACGGUUGUCCCGGUUUAAGCGUGUAGGCUGGUUUUCCAGGCAAAUCCGGAAAAUCAAGGCCGAGGCGUGAUGACGAGGCACUACGGUGCUGAAGCAACAAAUGCCCUGCUUCCAGGAAAAGCCUCUAAGCAUCAGGUAACAUCAAAUCGUACCCCAAACCGACACAGGUGGUCAGGUAGAGAAUACCAAGGCGCUUGAGAGAACUCGGGUGAAGGAACUAGGCAAAAUGGUGCCGUAACUUCGGGAGAAGGCACGCUGAUACGUAGGUGAAGCGACUUGCUCGUGGAGCUGAAAUCAGUCGAAGAUACCAGCUGGCUGCAACUGUUUAUUAAAAACACAGCACUGUGCAAACACGAAAGUGGACGUAUACGGUGUGACGCCUGCCCGGUGCCGGAAGGUUAAUUGAUGGGGUUAGCGCAAGCGAAGCUCUUGAUCGAAGCCCCGGUAAACGGCGGCCGUAACUAUAACGGUCCUAAGGUAGCGAAAUUC
rnacentral:rRNA from 1 species